rnacentral:rRNA from 1 species
GGUGUGUGCGUGCUUCAUGGCCUUAUUCAAUUAAGCAUUCUAUUCUUAAUUUACUGCUAAAUCCUCCUUUAGUUUUUAGGUUUCAUAAAAACUUUCGUAUAAGUUUAAGUGGUGUUCUUAUUAUAGAAAAUGUAGCCCAUUUCUUCCCAAUCCAUAGGUUACACCUUGACCUAACGUUUUUAUGUACAAUAGUUGUGCUUACUUUCAUUCCUUUUUUAGGGUUUGCUGAAGAUGGCGGUAUAUAGACUGAAGUAGCAAGGAUUGGUGAGGUUAAUCGUGGUUUAUCGUUUAUAGAACAGGCUCCUCUAGAAGGAUAUGAAGCACCGCCAAGUCCUUUGAGUUUUGGGCUGUUGCCGAUAGUACUCUGGCGAAUAGUCUUGUUUUGGGACUAUUUAAGUUUACGACUAAGCAUAGUGGGGUAUCU